UGCAUCGACCAUAGGCAUGUUGCCCACCAUAGUUUACCAGCGUUGCCUGCAUCGGCACUGGACCAUCCUUCCGUUACGCACGCGCCAAACAAACAAACAAACAAAGGCUCUGGCUAGUCACAUUGCCACGGCACCACCACAGAACAAGACAAAGAGAGCCAAAGCUCUAGAAAUUCUCAUUGCAAAUAUAAUAAAAAACUGCGAAAGAAUCAGGCAAUAAACGAAGAAGCAGGCAUAAUAGGCACACAAACAGAGGCUCGCUCAAUAAUCUCCUCUUGUCAACUGUCGCCUAAGUACUUCUACAAGAGACACUCUAUACACCGUGGAAACCGACAGCGUGACAGAAGUAAGUUUAACGAGAUACAAGCGGCAGAAAGCAAAGCUCCGUAGUGCCUUGCAAAAGUAAUAACUAUUUUCAAAA